GACGAACGCUGGCGGCGUGCUUAACACAUGCAAGUCGAACGAAGUGGCGAACGGGUGAGUAAUACGUGGGUAACCUGCCCUCCUUUUUGGGAUAAGCCUUGGAAACGUGGUCUAAUACCGAAUAAAGGGGGAUGGGUUCGCGGCCUAUCAGCUUGUUGGGGGGGUGCUGGCCUAACAAGGCGGUGACGGGUAGCCGGCCUGAGAGGGUGACAGGACGCGUUGAAAGUGAAAUACGGCCCAGACUCCUACGAGCGGCAGCAGUGGGGGAUGUUGCGCAAUGAAGGAAGGCCAGAUGCAGCGGCGCCACAUGGGGGAUGGAGGCUUUAGAGUUGGAAACCUCUUUCGCUAUCGAACGGGUAGGUGAUCAGGAAGCACCGGCUAACUACGUGCCAGCAGCCGCGGUAAUUC
rnacentral:rRNA from 1 species